AACAGUUGGAAACGACUGCUAAUACCGCAUAAGCCCACGGGUCGGCAUCGAGCAGAGGGAAAAGGAGCAAUCCGCUUUGAGAUGGCCUCGCGUCCGAUUAGCUAGUUGGUGAGGUAACGGCCCACCAAGGCAACGAUCGGUAGCCGGACUGAGAGGUUGAACGGCCACAUUGGGACUGAGACACGGCCCAGACUCCUACGGGAGGCAGCAGUGGGGAAUAUUGCACAAUGGGGGAAACCCUGAUGCAGCGACGCCGCGUGGAGGAAGAAGGUCUUCGGAUUGUAAACUCCUGUUGUUGGGGAAGAUAAUGACGGUACCCAACAAGGAAGUGACGGCUAACUACGUGCCAGCAGCCGCGGUAAAACGUAGGUCACAAGCGUUGUCCGGAAUUACUGGGUGUAAAGGGAGCGCAGGCGGGAAGACAAGUUGGAAGUGAAAUCUAUGGGCUCAACCCAUAAACUGCUUUCAAAACUGUUUUUCUUGAGUAGUGCAGAGGUAGGCGGAAUUCCCGGUGUAGCGGUGGAAUGCGUAGAUAUCGGGAGGAACACCAGUGGCGAAGGCGGCCUACUGGGCACCAACUGACGCUGAGGCUCGAAAGUGUGGGUAGCAAACAGGAUUAGAUACCCUGGUAGUCCACACCGUAAACGAUGAUUACUAGGUGUUGGGGGAUUGACCCCCUCAGUGCCGCAGUUAACACAAUAAGUAAUCCACCUGGGGAGUA
rnacentral:rRNA from 1 species